GGGGUUGUAGCUCAGUUGGAAGAGCGCUAGAAUCGCACUCUAGAGGUCGGGAGUUCGAGCCUCCUCAACUCCA
rnacentral:tRNA from 1 species